rnacentral:tRNA from 5 species
GGGCCUGUAGCUCAACGGUUAGAGCAGGGGACUCAUAAUCCCUUGGUUCCGGGUUCGAAUCCCGGCGGGCCCACCA